rnacentral:lncRNA from 1 species
GCGGCGAUGGCGUUUGCCACCUGUUCUCUGACCCGAUCGGCCGCACGCACUGGGUAGUCGCGGCAUCGCGCGCGAAAGGCGUCGAGCACGGCAGCCCUGCGGUCCUCUGGGGGAUGAAAGGGUUCCUGGUGCAAAUCGAUCUUUUCCUGUACCCUUUCGACAAAGGCGUCGGGUCCGUAGGCCUGGACAAAGACAGCGGGGUCGACCUGCACGGCGCCGAGCCGCGGGUCAGUCCACAUAAAGGGACCCAUCUCCAAGAGCCUAUCGACAAUGUCGCCGGCGUCCAACAAUGGCGCUGCCCCUUGGCCGCCGCCGGCCUGGCGCACGCCAUAAUACUCGGCAAUGGCCUCGAUUUCAGUGCAUAGUUGACCGUAUAUGCGCGCCGACGACGCCCCCCGUUCUAGUCUCUGUACGCGCUCUCUCGCCUCUGCGACGCGCUUCAACAGCGGCAGCGCGUUACGGUUGAUAACCUGGGCGAGAACCAUCUCUGUCUCGCCUGCGUGUGCCAGAGCCUGAAGACGCUGGAGCGCGCCGAUGGCGUCGGCUCCCGCGCGAUUGAGAUCCGCUAUGGCUCGCGAUGCGACCCUCUGGCUGUUUUCUUCGGCUUCAUCGAGUUGGGCGCCGAGGUGGGAUGCGUCCUCGGAAAAAUCGGCCUGCUGCUCGGGGUCAAAGGGCGGCGGCGCGGCGGCCUGCUCGAUCAGGAGGUCCAGUUGCGCGUCGAUGGCGUUGGACUCGUAUUGUGGGCGACGGCGUGCGGCCAUGUUUUCCCUUUCCUAACGGGCGGGCGGUUUUCAGAGCGUCGUCGGUGGUCUUGUCAAAGGUGGGCGUGAACGCGCGCGUGUGUGUGUACCCGCGUGGCGCUGGGGACAAAAAGGGCAGGCGGCAAUAGAUGGCGAGGAUAUCGUCUGGGCGCCUUUUUUUGUUAUUGCGUGUGCGCACGAACGAAAAAAGCCAAAUCGGUGACCAGUACGAGAAAAAAUCAAAUAGGGCCUCGGCAGCGUCUCGUCCCCGCAUU